UACGUAGGGUGCAAGCGUUGUCCGGAAUUAUUGGGCGUAAAGAGCGUGUAGGCGGCCCGAUUAGUCUGCUGUGAAAGUCCAGGGCUCAACCCUGGAAUGCCGGUGGAUACUGUCGGGCUAGAGUCCGGAAGGGGCGAGUGGAAUUCCUGGUGUAGCGGUGAAAUGCGCAGAUAUCGGGAGGAACACCGGUGGCGAAGGCGGUUCUCUGGGCCUUACCUGACGCUGAGGAGCGAAAGCAUGGGGAGCGAACAGG
rnacentral:rRNA from 1 species